ACAAAGAGAGUAGCGCACUGGUGAGGUAACACGUGGGAACGUACCUUGAAGUGGGGAAUAGCGUCUGGAAACGGACGAUAAUACCGCAUAAUCCCUGAGGGGGAAAGAUUUAUCGCUUUAAGAACGGCCCGCGGAAGAUUAGGUAGUUGGUGGGGUAAAGGCCUACCAAGCCUACGAUCUAUAGCUGGUCUGAGAGGACGAUCAGCCACAUUGGGACUGAGACACGGUCCAAACUCCUACGGAAGGCAGCAG
rnacentral:rRNA from 1 species